rnacentral:rRNA from 1 species
UACGGAGGGGGCGAGCGUUGUUCGGAAUCACUGGGUGUAAAGGGUGCGUAGGCGGUCUCUCAAGUCUGAUGUGAAAUCCCUGGGCUCAACUCAGGAACUGCAUUGGAAACUGAAAGGCUGGAGUACCGGAGAGGGAAGCGGAAUUCCUGGUGUAGCGGUGAAAUGCGUAGAUACCAGGAGGAACACUGGUGGCGAAGGCGGCUUCCUGGCCGAGUACUGACGCUGAGGCACGAAAGCGUGGGGAGCGAACGGG